UACGUAGGAGACGAGCGUUGUCCGGAGUUACUGGGCGUAAAGGGUGCGCAGGCGGCCUGGCGCGUCGCGAGUGAAAGCCCGCUGCUUAACGGCGGGUUGGCUUCCGGUACGGGCAUCGCUGGAGUGCGGCAGGGGAGACUGGAAUUCCUGGUGUAGCGGUGGAAUGCGCAGAUAUCAGGAGGAACACCGGUGGCGAAGGCGGGUCCCUGGGCCGUUACUGACGCUGAGGAGCGAAAGCGUGGGGAGCGAACAGG
rnacentral:rRNA from 1 species